GAACUAAUAAUUCGAAGUGUAGAAUGAUAGGGUAACGCCUUGAAAUGCACUCCAUAAUACUCCGACAUGCGUGUGUAAGGGAAACCUGACAUGUAUGAAGCUCGGUGAAGUCGGCUGAAAUGACCUAAGUUGUCGAAACGGACAAGUAGUGUUGGUAUAAAAGUGGCUAGAGCCCGCCUGCAUGAAAGAAAGAAAGUAGACAAUAUGGUUUAUGAUAGGCCGGUGGUCCAUAAA
rnacentral:ncRNA from 1 species